rnacentral:rRNA from 1 species
GCGAACGGGUGAGUAACGCGUGAGGAACCUGCCUCAAAGAGGGGGGACAACAGUUGGAAACGACUGCUAAUACCGCAUAAGCCCACGGUGCCGCAUGGCACAGAGGGAAAAGGAGCAAUCCGCUUUGAGAUGGCCUCGCGUCCGAUUAGCUAGUUGGUGAGGUAACGGCCCACCAAGGCAACGAUCGGUAGCCGGACUGAGAGGUUGAACGGCCACAUUGGGACUGAGACACGGCCCAGACUCCUACGGGAGGCAGCAUG